rnacentral:lncRNA from 1 species
GGGCCUGAUGAUGUCAGCGAUUACGUCGUCAUCAUCGUCCCCAAUUUUGGGAAUUCAACUUUCCCUCUUUUUCCCCGAAAGUCCCGACCAUCUCCCGUCCUCCCCCCUUUCUUUCCUCUUGUUGAUUCAGGGAGAUAUCCUCCUUCCCUAAUCGACUGAAGUGGCGUGAGAUCGCGAGUUUAAAGGCAUUCAAUCUGUAUUACUAUCUGUCUCUCGCUAAAUCGAUUUGAAUCACAAGAACACUCUCCUUCUAGAUCACUCGGCUGACGCCGACUGGACGAACCUCCACGAGUUUGGAAGACGAAGGAAAAGAGUUCCCCGACGACGAUUCCGCUUCCGAAGACCUCUCGUUGGUUAACUUCCAGCCGGUUUAGACCCUUAACAGAGAAAUCGGAAACUCCCGACAACUAUUCAAAGCCUUCGAUUUGAAACCUCAAGAACGACCCAAGCCCUCCAAUAUAUUAGGAAAUUUACGGAAUAAGGUCAGGAAUCGAGUCUCGUGGGGAUUAUUCGAUCGUCUGAGCCUCGCCGGUGUCUCGCCAGAAUUCUGGGCUUUCUUCAAGUUCAUUGGAGAAGAUGGCCGCCUAAUAUCUGUGGCGGAACCUAUAGGUUUCAGUAAUUUCUAUUCAGUCACUGGACUUCCAGAAGUUAGAAUCAGUGCCUUAAGUCUUAGUAAACUGUGUUAUGUAAAUAAACUGUUAAAAUCUAACAUUGUGGUAAUGAACUAUUUCCUUGUUACUCUCAUAGUCUGUAACUUUCUGGUUGUGACAUAACAAACCCAAAUAGUUUUCUAAGUAGUUUAAUAUAAUAGAAAUCCGGAAAAUUU